rnacentral:rRNA from 1 species
AUUGAACGCUGGCGGCAUGCCUUACACAUGCAAGUCGAACGGCAGCAUGGAGAGCUUGCUCUCUGAUGGCGAGUGGCGAACGGGUGAGUAAAGCAUCGGAACGUACCGUGUAGUGGGGGAUAACGUAGCGAAAGUUACGCUAAUACCGCAUACGCACUGAGGUGGAAAGCAGGGGAUCGUAAGACCUUGCGCUAUACGAGCGGCCGAUGUCAGAUUAGCUAGUUGGUAGGGUAAAGGCCUACCAAGGCGACGAUCUGUAGCGGGUCUGAGAGGAUGAUCAGCCACACUGGGACUGAGACACGGCCCAGACUCCUGCGGGAGGCAGCAGUGGGGAAUUUUGGACAAUGGGGGCAACCCUGAUCCAGCCAUGCCGCGUGAGUGAAGAAGGCCUUCGGGUUGUAAAGCUCUUUAAGUUGGGAGGAAGGUCUGUAAGCUAAUAUCUUGCAGUCUUGACGUUACCAACAGAAUAAGCACCGGCUAACUCUGUGCCAGCAGCCGCGGUAA